UACAGAGGUCUCAAGCGUUGUUCGGAUUCAUUGGGCGUAAAGGGUGUGUAGGUGGCGCCGUAAGUCGGGUGUGAAAUUUCGGAGCUUAACUCCGAAACUGCAUUCGAUACUGCGGUGCUUGAGGACUGGAGAGGAGACUGGAAUUCAUGGUGUAGCAGUGAAAUGCGUAGAGAUCAUGAGGAAGACCAGUGGCGAAGGCGGGUCUCUGGACAACUGUUGACGCUGAGGUGCGAAAGCGUGGGGAGCAAACAGG
rnacentral:rRNA from 1 species